rnacentral:rRNA from 1 species
GACGAACGCUGGCGGCGUGCCUAAUACAUGCAAGUCGAGCGAAGUUUUUCUGGUGCUUGCACUAGAAAAACUUAGCGGCGAACGGGUGUGUAACACGUAAAGAACCUGCCUCAUAGACUGGGACAACUAUUGGAAACGAUAGCUAAUACCGGAUAACAGUAUUUCUCGCAUGAGAGAUAUUUAAAAGUUGGUUAUGCUAGCACUAUGAGAUGGCUUUGCGGUGCAUUAGCUAGUUGGUGGGGUAAAGGCCCACCAAGGCGACGAUGCAUAGCCGACCUGAGAGGGUGAUCGGCCACACUGGGACUGAGACACGGCCCAGACUCCUACGGGAGGCAGCAGUAGGGAAUCUUCCGCAAUGGGCGAAAGCCUGACGGAGCAACGCCGCGUGAGUGAAGAAGGAUUUCGGUUCGUAAAGCUCUGUUGUUAGGGAAGAAUGGAUAUGUAGUAACUAUACAUGUAAGAGACGGUACCUAACCAGAAAGCCACGGCUAACUACGUG